UUUGAUCAUGGCUCAGAUUGAACGCUGGCGGCAUGCCUUACACAUGCAAGUCGAACGGUAACAGGUCUUCGGACGCUGACGAGUGGCGAACGGGUGAGUAAUACAUCGGAACGUGCCCAGUCGUGGGGGAUAACUACUCGAAAGAGUAGCUAAUACCGCAUACGAUCUGAGGAUGAAAGCGGGGGACCUUCGGGCCUCGCGCGAUUGGAGCGGCCGAUGGCAGAUUAGGUAGUUGGUGGGAUAAAAGCUUACCAAGCCGACGAUCUGUAGCUGGUCUGAGAGGACGACCAGCCACACUGGGACUGAGACACGGCCCAGACUCCUACGGGAGGCAGCAGUGGGGAAUUUUGGACAAUGGGCGAAAGCCUGAUCCAGCAAUGCCGCGUGCAGGAUGAAGGCCUUCGGGUUGUAAACUGCUUUUGUACGGAACGAAAAAGCUCCUUCUAAUACAGGGGGCCCAUGACGGUACCGUAAGAAUAAGCACCGGCUAACUACGUGCCAGCAGCCGCGGUAAUACGUAGGGUGCGAGCGUUAAUCGGAAUUACUGGGCGUAAAGCGUGCGCAGGCGGUUAUGUAAGACAGAUGUGAAAUCCCCGGGCUCAACCUGGGAACUGCAUUUGUGACUGCAUGGCUAGAGUACGGUAGAGGGGGAUGGAAUUCCGCGUGUAGCAGUGAAAUGCGUAGAUAUGCGGAGGAACACCGAUGGCGAAGGCAAUCCCCGGACCUGUACUGACGCUCAUGCACGAAAGC
rnacentral:rRNA from 4 species